rnacentral:rasiRNA from 1 species
AUAAGAAAUAAUCUUCGUCUUGAGAUC